GCCCUACGGGGUGCAGCAGUUAGGAAUUUUCUGCAAUGUACGAAAGUAUGACAGAUUGAGUCAGAGUGCUUUUCAUAUGAAAAGCUUUUGCCAAAUGUAAAAAGUUUGGCGAAUAAGGACUGGGUAAGACGAGUGCCAGCCGCCGCGGUAAUACUCGCGGUCCAAGUCGCAGCCAUCAUUAUUGGGUCUAAAACAUCCGUAGCUUGCUUAAUAAGUUUCUUGUGAAAUUCCAUGUCUCAAAUAUGGAGCGGGCAAGAAGUACUGUUAAGCUAGAGACUGGAAGACGUAAGAAGUACGUUUGGAGUAGCGGUAAAAUGUGUUAAUCCCAGACGGACUAACAACAGCGAAGGCAUCUUACGAGGACAGUUCUGACAGUAAGGGAUGAAGGCUAGGGGCGCAAAAGGGAUUAGAUACCCCUGUAGUCCUAGCAGUAAACACUGCACACUAAACAUUAGUACCUCCUCGAGAGGUGUUAGUGCUGAAGAGAAGUCGAAGAGUGUGCUACCUGGGAAGUAUAGUCGCAAGGCUGAAACUUAAAGGAAUUGGCGGGGAGACACUACGACGGGUGACGCGUGCGGUUCAAUUAGAUUCUACACCGUGAACCUCACCA
rnacentral:rRNA from 1 species